CGGAGACAACACGUGCGGGUAACGUGAAAAUCACAGAACCAAGUAGUGAUUCCCAACCCAUGGUCCAUGGACUGCCAGUGGUCCGGAAACCAUUAUGGCGGUGAUCUAUACCUACGAAAUUGAAAAAAAAAAAAUAAAUAUUUAUCGCGAGUUUUCGGAGUUUAUUACGAGUUUAUUAAAAGUGGAACAUCUCGUCGCCGGGCCGACGGGAAUCAAUAAUUUCCACACCGAAAUGUAUUCCGUCUUUUUACGGAAUUCGUGAUAUAGGUUUUCCGUCU